rnacentral:rRNA from 1 species
AGUGAACGCUGGCGGUAUGCCUAACACAUGCAAGUCGAACGGCAGCACAUUAAGAGCUUGCUCGUACGGGUGGCGAGUAGCGGACGGGUGAGGAAUACAUCGGAAUCUACUUUUUCGUGGGGGGUAACGUAUGGAAACUUACGCUAAUACCGCAUACGACAUACGGGUGAAAGCAGGGGAUCUUCGGACCUUGCGCGAUUGAAUGAGCCGAUGUCGGAUUAGCUAGUUGGCGGUGUAAAGGCCCACCAAGGCGACGAUCCGUAGCUGGUCUGAGAGGAUGAUCAGCCACACUGGAACUGAGACAAGGUGCAGAAUCCUAAGGGAGGCAGCAGUGGGGAAUAUUGGACAAUGGGCGGAAGCCUGAUCCAGCCAUACCGCGUGGGUGAAGAAGGCCUUCGGGUUGUAAAGCCCUUUUGUUGGGAAAGAAAAGCAGCAGGUUAAUACCCCGCUGUUCUGACGGUACCCAAAGAAUAAGCACCGGCUAACUUCGUG